GGGUUGUGAGGUUAAGCGACUAAGCGUACACGGUGGAUGCCCUGGCAGUCAGAGGCGAUGAAGGACGUGCUAAUCUGCGAUAAGCGUCGGUAAGGUGAUAUGAACCGUUAUAACCGGCGAUUUCCGAAUGGGGAAACCCAGUGUGAUUCGUCACACUAUCAUUAACUGAAUCCAUAGGUUAAUGAGGCGAACCGGGGGAACUGAAACAUCUAAGUACCCCGAGGAAAAGAAAUCAACCGAGAUUCCCCCAGUAGCGGCGAGCGAACGGGGAGCAGCCCAGAGCCUGAAUCAGUGUGUGUGUUAGUGGAAGCGUCUGGAAAGGCGCGCGAUACAGGGUGACAGCCCCGUACACAAAAAUGCACAUGCUGUGAGCUCGAUGAGUAGGGCGGGACACGUGGUAUCCUGUCUGAAUAUGGGGGGACCAUCCUCCAAGGCUAAAUACUCCUGACUGACCGAUAGUGAACCAGUACCGUGAGGGAAAGGCGAAAAGAACCCCGGCGAGGGGAGUGAAAAAGAACCUGAAACCGUGUACGUACAAGCAGUGGGAGCACAGAGCAAUCUGUGUGACUGCGUACCUUUUGUAUAAUGGGUCAGCGACUUAUAUUCUGUAGCAAGGUUAACCGAAUAGGGGAGCCGAAGGGAAACCGAGUCUUAACUGGGCGUUAAGUUGCAGGGUAUAGACCCGAAACCCGGUGAUCUAGCCAUGGGCAGGUUGAAGGUUGGGUAACACUAACUGGAGGACCGAACCGACUAAUGUUGAAAAAUUAGCGGAUGACUUGUGGCUGGGGGUGAAAGGCCAAUCAAACCGGGAGAUAGCUGGUUCUCCCCGAAAGCUAUUUAGGUAGCGCCUCGUGAAUUCAUCUCCGGGGGUAGAGCACUGUUUCGGCAAGGGGGUCAUCCCGACUUACCAACCCGAUGCAAACUGCGAAUACCGGAGAAUGUUAUCACGGGAGACACACGGCGGGUGCUAACGUCCGUCGUGAAGAGGGAAACAACCCAGACCGCCAGCUAAGGUCCCAAAGUCAUGGUUAAGUGGGAAACGAUGUGGGAAGGCCCAGACAGCCAGGAUGUUGGCUUAGAAGCAGCCAUCAUUUAAAGAAAGCGUAAUAGCUCACUGGUCGAGUCGGCCUGCGCGGAAGAUGUAACGGGGCUAAACCAUGCACCGAAGCUGCGGCAGCGACGCUUAUGCGUUGUUGGGUAGGGGAGCGUUCUGUAAGCCUGCGAAGGUGUGCUGUGAGGCAUGCUGGAGGUAUCAGAAGUGCGAAUGCUGACAUAAGUAACGAUAAAGCGGGUGAAAAGCCCGCUCGCCGGAAGACCAAGGGUUCCUGUCCAACGUUAAUCGGGGCAGGGUGAGUCGACCCCUAAGGCGAGGCCGAAAGGCGUAGUCGAUGGGAAACAGGUUAAUAUUCCUGUACUUGGUGUUACUGCGAAGGGGGGACGGAGAAGGCUAUGUUGGCCGGGCGACGGUUGUCCCGGUUUAAGCGUGUAGGCUGGUUUUCCAGGCAAAUCCGGAAAAUCAAGGCUGAGGCGUGAUGACGAGGCACUACGGUGCUGAAGCAACAAAUGCCCUGCUUCCAGGAAAAGCCUCUAAGCAUCAGGUAACAUCAAAUCGUACCCCAAACCGACACAGGUGGUCAGGUAGAGAAUACCAAGGCGCUUGAGAGAACUCGGGUGAAGGAACUAGGCAAAAUGGUGCCGUAACUUCGGGAGAAGGCACGCUGAUAUGUAGGUGAAGCGACUUGCUCGUGGAGCUGAAAUCAGUCGAAGAUACCAGCUGGCUGCAACUGUUUAUUAAAAACACAGCACUGUGCAAACACGAAAGUGGACGUAUACGGUGUGACGCCUGCCCGGUGCCGGAAGGUUAAUUGAUGGGGUUAGCGCAAGCGAAGCUCUUGAUCGAAGCCCCGGUAAACGGCGGCCGUAACUAUAACGGUCCUAAGGUAGCGAAAUUCCUUGUCGGGUAAGUUCCGACCUGCACGAAUGGCGUAAUGAUGGCCAGGCUGUCUCCACCCGAGACUCAGUGAAAUUGAACUCGCUGUGAAGAUGCAGUGUACCCGCGGCAAGACGGAAAGACCCCGUGAACCUUUACUAUAGCUUGACACUGAACAUUGAGCCUUGAUGUGUAGGAUAGGUGGGAGGCUUUGAAGUGUGGACGCCAGUCUGCAUGGAGCCGACCUUGAAAUACCACCCUUUAAUGUUUGAUGUUCUAACGUUGACCCGUAAUCCGGGUUGCGGACAGUGUCUGGUGGGUAGUUUGACUGGGGCGGUCUCCUCCUAAAGAGUAACGGAGGAGCACGAAGGUUGGCUAAUCCUGGUCGGACAUCAGGAGGUUAGUGCAAUGGCAUAAGCCAGCUUGACUGCGAGCGUGACGGCGCGAGCAGGUGCGAAAGCAGGUCAUAGUGAUCCGGUGGUUCUGAAUGGAAGGGCCAUCGCUCAACGGAUAAAAGGUACUCCGGGGAUAACAGGCUGAUACCGCCCAAGAGUUCAUAUCGACGGCGGUGUUUGGCACCUCGAUGUCGGCUCAUCACAUCCUGGGGCUGAAGUAGGUCCCAAGGGUAUGGCUGUUCGCCAUUUAAAGUGGUACGCGAGCUGGGUUUAGAACGUCGUGAGACAGUUCGGUCCCUAUCUGCCGUGGGCGCUGGAGAACUGAGGGGGGCUGCUCCUAGUACGAGAGGACCGGAGUGGACGCAUCACUGGUGUUCGGGUUGUCAUGCCAAUGGCACUGCCCGGUAGCUAAAUGCGGAAGAGAUAAGUGCUGAAAGCAUCUAAGCACGAAACUUGCCCCGAGAUGAGUUCUCCCUGACUCCUUGAGAGUCCUGAAGGAACGUUGAAGACGACGACGUUGAUAGGCCGGGUGUGUAAGCGCAGCGAUGCGUUGAGCUAACCGGUACUAAUGAACCGUGAGGCUUAACCUUACAACGCCGAAGCUGUU
rnacentral:rRNA from 1 species